UACAGAGGUCCCGAGCGUUGUUCGGAUUUAUUGGGCGUAAAGGGUGCGUAGGCGGCGGAGUAAGUUGGGUGUGAAAUCCCGAGGCUCAACCUCGGAAUUGCAUUCAAUACUGCUUCGCUCGAGUACUGGAGAGGAGGCUGGAAUUUACGGUGUAGCAGUGAAAUGCGUAGAUAUCGUAAGGAAGGCCGGUGGCGAAAGCGGCUACCUGGACAAUUGCUGACGCUCAGGCACGAAAGCGUGGGGAGCAAAAGGG
rnacentral:rRNA from 1 species